AUACUUCCCUGGCAGGGGAGAUACCAUGGUCACGAAGGUUGUUUUUCAGGGCGAGGCAUAUCCAUUGCACUCUGGAUAUGCUGCCCCCUGCAAUUUCCCCAAAUGUGAAACCAUAGGAAUCCUAGAAGAC
rnacentral:snRNA from 1 species